UAGGAUUUAGUUAAAUUAUAAUAUCAUUUUGUCAAAAUGAAGUUUCUUAUAAUCCUAA
rnacentral:tRNA from 1 species